ensembl:lncRNA
AUGCCAACAAUUGUCGGUAAAGCUUUGGGACAAUAUGGCCAGAUAAAGGUCCGGCCAAGGAAUUGCAAGGGCUAUCGGUAUAUCUGCAGCAGAGAAAGUUUCGAGGGGGUCCGGAUCCAGAUACUCCGCCCCCAGACUCUCCGACGCCGCUGCGGCAGAGAGGGGCAGCUGCCCUCAUUGGCUCCCUGUGCCCGAGUGCCGGGCACCGCCGGCUCUGCAGCAAUGUUCUUCAGGGGGCCGCUGCCCUCCUGGGCCGCCAGCAGAGCCCACCUUCCCGAAGAAGACUCUUCCCCAUGGCCUCUGUCUCCUCUAGCCCCGCCGCCCGCCUCCGCUUGCAGAGACCUCUUAAAUUUACCAUCAGCCUCAGUAGGAAUAGUACUGUUAAUAACGACAGCUGGGGGCGGCGCGGGGGGCGAUGCGUGGCACCGGGAGGGCCAUACCCACCCCAGCCGCCCUCGUACCCAAGCCCCGGCAGCCUCGGCGUGGGACGCGAGCAGCCCCCGACACACCUCUCCCUCUCUUGUCCCAGUCUCGAGUAUCCCUGAGGCCCACAGGCUAAGCUCUGACUCCUCACCAUGCCUGGAGAGAAUUCGCAAGGAAAGCCCCCUAGAAAGACAUUUCUCCGCUGCUGAUGGUUGUCUGUUUUGGGGGGGAACGGGGGAGGUAAGUGAGUGGGAAAUACCGGGGCAAAGGGGAGGAGUGAGGUACGCAGCAGUCCGGCGUGGGCCAGCCUUCGUGGCCCUCCUCUCUCUAAAAGCAACCUGCUCCUCCUUCCUCGAGUGGCUUCUUCUUUUCUUCCCGCCCAUCCGAGAGGGCCUGAAGAAGCCUCUCCUGACGUCUCUGCGAAUGACGGUGCUCGGCGGGCGGCUGCGGAACGGAGACCGCGCGAGUGUGGCUACUGACCCAUCUUCCUGAGGAGAAUGGCUGAGAUGUCUUUGAAAUUAUUCCUGGAAUUCGACCAGCAUGAGAUCUCUACCAAACUGAGGUAAUACUGUUGAAAGGCAAGAAAUCUGAAGUGAUGUAUGUUCAACUGUCUGUGCAUUGACAAUGUCAACUGCUGAAAACAUUCCCCAUGCCUGGGGCCAAAGGAAACAGUCAGAAUGGGUAAACCUGAGGACAUCAGUCUCUUCUGAGGGAUAUUUGGUUGGUGAAGCCAAAAGCUUUUCUAGGUAAUUUCUAGAUCCAGGUUUUUACUAACAAUGACAGCCCAGACUUCUGCCAUAAUGAAGUACCUUCUUGGAGGUUAACUAACUAGUUAUUUACCUAGCAAUACUCAGCAUAAUGGCAAGCACAGGAGUGGGGUCACUUUUGGUUAGUUUGUAGAGCCUUUAACACCUCAGAAAUUUCACUAUGAGAAAACCAGACAAUUUAAAAUGAUAGCGUGGGCAGUAAAAUUAUGUAGCAUAUCACUACUAAGCCUUCUGCUAGAAAAUUCACAAAUUUUUCUUUCUUUAACUCUUCACCAGAACAGGUUUUGGUUACAAUUCUGUCGGGGUGGACCUGACAUAAAAUGAUGUCAAAAAUCAGUCACAUUAGGAUUACACACAUAAAUAAGACAAGUACAAUUUGCCAAGUGAUAUGCAUGAAAAUGAAUUUUCUUGCUAUGGAAUGAUUUUUUUGAAAUCAGUUUUCUUUAAAUGGUAUUAGCUAGAAAGCAGCAGAAAAUAUGCCCUGGUCUAUACCAGGAGGUAUAUCUGUCUCAUUCUGUUUCAUCAAGCGUACAUAAGUUAUGUAUGGCGUUUUCAUUAUGGAUAGUAGUCUGGCCUUAGAAAGAUAUCAAUUAUUAUGAAAUGUCUUUCAUUAAUUGUUUCUCUCUUGUGAGGAUUUAAAAAAUAGUUUGUGUUGAAAAGAGCAAAGAUAAACACUGUUUGUUAAGAUCUCUGUAGUGUAAAAUAAAAUACUGCCUUUCCUAAUAAUUUCA